GUUCCCGUAGCUCAGCAGGAUAGAGCGAUUGCCUCCUAAGCGAUAGGCCGCUGGUUCGACUCCAGUCGGGAACA
rnacentral:tRNA from 1 species